rnacentral:rRNA from 1 species
GACAGAGGUGCCGAGCGUUAGGCGGAAUCACUGGGCUUAAAGCGUGUGUAGGCGGAUGGGUAAGUACCUUGUGAAAUCCCACGGCUCAACCGUGGAACUGCUCGGUAUACUGCUCGUCUUGAGCCAACUAGGGGCGACCGGAACAAACGGUGGAGCGGUGAAAUGCGUGGAUAUCGUUUGGAACGCCGAUGGUGAAAACAGGUCGCUGGGGUUGUGCUGACGCUGAGACACGAAAGCCAGGGGAGCGAACGGGG